rnacentral:rRNA from 1 species
UGGGGAAUCUUGCGCAAUGGGCGAAAGCCUGACGCAGCGACGCCGCGUGCGGGAAGAAGGCCUUCGGGUUGUAAACCGCUGUCAGGGGGGAAGAAGCGAGAGUGACGGUACCCCCAGAGGAAGCUCCGGCCAACUACGUGCCAGCAGCCGCGGUAAUACGUAGGGAGCAAGCGUUGUCCGGAAUUAUUGGGCGUAAAGCGCUCGUAGGCGGCCCGUCAAGUCGGAAGUGAAAGCCCAGGGCUCAACCCUGGAAUUGCUUUCGAUACUGGCGGGCUUGAGGCAGGUAGGGGCGAGUGGAAUUCGCGGUGUAGCGGUGAAAUGCGCAGAUAUCGCGAGGAACACCAGUGGCGAAGGCGGCUCGCUGGGCCUGUACUGACGCUGAGGAGCGAAAGCGUGGGGAGCAAACAGGAUUAGAUACCCCCGUAGUCC